GGGGAAUAUUGGGCAAUGGGCGCAAGCCUGACCCAGCAACGCCGCGUGAAGGAAGAAGGCUUUCGGGUUGUAAACUUCUUUUAUGAGGGACGAAAAAAAUGACGGUACCUCAUGAAUAAGCCACGGCUAACUACGUGCCAGCAGCCGCGGUAAUACGUAGGUGGCAAGCGUUAUCCGGAUUUACUGGGUGUAAAGGGCGUGUAGGCGGGACUGUAAGUCAGGCGUGAAAAUUAUGGGCUCAACCCAUAACCUGCGUUUGAAACUAUAGUUCUUGAGUGUCGGCGAGGCAAUCGGAAUUCCGUGUGUAGCGGUGAAAUGCAUAGAUAUCACGAGGAACUCCGAUUGCGCAGGCAGCUUACCAAGCCGUAACUGACGCUCAAGCACGAAGGCGUGGGGAUCAAACA
rnacentral:rRNA from 1 species